CUCAAUUCUAUGUCAGAUUGGCCAGUGUCAAAAAUGAAAUUAAGUGAGGAACAAUUUAAAAGUUCAUUGUCCAAAGAAAGACCGCUUUGUUAACUGGGAGACCUCAAACUGAACAUGAUGCGAGGAAUUUUAACCAAAUUAAAGAGGCUUUGUUAACCAUAAUUUGGAAUUGUCAUAUAGAUUUAAUCAAGUCAGAUUCAGAAUUCCUUUCAUCAUGGAAACAUCGAUUUACACUAAACAAUAUAGGAAUGAAAAUAUUGUACAUUACUGAUACAGUUAAAAGAGAUGUCUGCAGACUA